rnacentral:lncRNA from 1 species
UCUUUUUCAAGUAGGAUUGCUGGGCCCUUCUUCUAGCACCAAUCUAUUGCGUCAAGGCUCCGGAAGUGCUGAUGUGGUCAAAGGUGGAGGACAAUCUGGACACCAAGACACCGGAUGGAGCUACAAAAGAAGCUUGCUCGUAUUGGAGAUGGGACCUCCGACAGAGGAUCCCUUGAUGAUUAAGUCAGUCGGAUAGAGAGAGAGUAUGAGAGUUAGUGGGGAC